rnacentral:rRNA from 1 species
CAGCCGCCACGGUAAUACAGAGGAUGCAAGCGUUAUCUAGAAUGAUUGGGCGUAAAGCGUCUGUAGGUGGCUUUUCAAGUCCGCCGUCAAAUCCCAGGGCUCAACCCUGGACAGGCGGUGGAAACUACCAAGCUGGAGUACGGUAGGGGCAGAGGGAAUUUCCGGUGAGCGGUGAAAUGCGUUGAGAUCGGAAAGAACACCAGUGGCGAAGGCGACUCUCUGGUCUGUAACUGACGCUGAGGAGCGAAAGCGUGGGGAGCGAACAGGAUUAGAGACCCGGGUAGUUCCUGUCUCUUAUACA